GACGAACGCUGGCGGCGUGCUUAACACAUGCAAGUCGAACGGUAAGGCCCUUCGGGGUACACGAGUGGCGAACGGGUGAGUAACACGCGGGUGAUCUGCCCUGCACUUCGGGAUAAGCCCGGGAAACUGGGUCUAAUACCGGCUAGGAGUCCGGACCGCAUAGCCUGGGGCGGAAAGCCUUUGCGGUGUGGGAUGGGCCCUGGGCCUAGCAGCUUGUUGGUGGGGUGAUGGCCUACCAAGGCGACGACGGGUAGCCGGCCUGGGUGGGGGACCGGCGACACGGGGACUGAGAGACGGCGCAGUCUCCAACUGGGGGCAGCGGUGGGGAAUAUUGCACAAUGGGCGCAAGCCUGGUGCAGCGACGCCGCGUUAGGGAUGACGGCCUUCGGGUUGUAAACCUCUUUCAGCAUCGACGAAGCGAAAGUGACGGUAGGUGCAGAAGAAGGACCGGCCAACUACGUGCCAGCCGCCGCGGUAA
rnacentral:rRNA from 1 species